UGGGGAAUAUUGGACAAUGGGCGCAAGCCUGAUCCAGCAAUGCCGCGUGUGUGAAGAAGGCCUGCGGGUUGUAAAGCACUUUCGUUGGGGAGGAAGGCCUAUGUGCUAAUAGUACAUAGGAUUGACGUUACCCAAAUAAGAAGCACCGGCUAACUCUGUGCCAGCAGCCGCGGUAAUACAGAGGGUGCGAGCGUUAAUCGGAAUUACUGGGCGUAAAGGGCGCGUAGGUGGUUAUUUAAGUCAUAUGUGAAAUCCCUGGGCUUAACCUAGGAAUUGCAUAUGGUACUGGAUAGCUAGAGUGCGAGAGAGGGAAGUGGAAUUUCCGGUGUAGCGGUGAAAUGCGUAGAUAUCGGAAGGAACAUCAGUGGCGAAGGCGACUUCCUGGCUCGAUACUGACACUGAGGCGCGAAAGCGUGGGGAGCAAACAGGAUUAGAUACCCUGGUAGUCCCUGAGCGGGCUGGCAAGGCGCAU
rnacentral:rRNA from 1 species